rnacentral:rRNA from 1 species
GAAGCUGGAAUCGCUAGUAAUCGCGGAUCAGCACGCCGCGGUGAAUACGUUCCCGGGCCUUGUACACACCGCCCGUCACACCAUGGAAGUCUGCAAUGCCCGAAGCCGGUGGCCUAACCACUUAUGUGGAAGGAGCCGUCUAAGGCAGGGCAGAUGACUGGGGUGAAGUCGUAACAAGGUACC